CCAUGAUUCCAUGUUUUAUCCCCACCUCUCAUCGUGCUCCCGUCCAUCCGCGACCGCCAACAUCUCCUGCUUGGUUUCUCAAAUCGAGUGAAGACCAGAGGGCGGAGGCGAGCAACUGGUUGAGCGCAGUAGAGCUCGAACCCCUGGCGCUGGAGAGGGUGAUUCGUGGUCCAUGUUGUGACAUCCUGCAUGGUCACUGUGUCUAUCAAAUAAGCACUAAACUAUACCACAGUAUUGCAACAACAAAUAAAGUACUGCUUGCUUGUUAAAUUCAUGCGUCAGCGAUGAGUUGCUGGGCAACGGAGGCGCUGGAUCUGCGUGCAUGGCUUGCCUUAGGGAAUUAUUUGAAUGAUAGCUCCAAGCAAGCCAGGUGCUUCAGUGAGAUCAGGGCCAGGUGUUGCUGGGGGAUGGAAAUGCAGUAGCUGGGCGGAGGAGAAGCACCCGGAGGCUGGAGGUGGAGUAGAUGCAGAGAUCGGGAGCAUCCAGGCGAGCAGUUGAACAUCGAGGCAGAGCCGGCUCUUGGACGAGCAUCUGAUGGUCGCUGGGCGAAGGGGAAGCGGAUCCCACGUGAUCAUGGCUGGGCGGAGGAGAAGCAGCUCCCAGGUGCUCCUGGGUGAGGGAUCAUGGUGGAGGCAGAUCCCAGGAGCACCUAGGCGAUGAGAUCCUAGUCGAGGCGCUCCUGGGUGAGGAGAUCGUGCUCGAGGACCUGGGCGAAGGCGAGGCGAGGAAAAAGAUGCACGAGGAGGAAGCGAUCACGAGGGGAAUCACGAUAUGCGAUCUGAUACGAAUCAUGGGUAGGAUGGACUUUUUAGCGCUUUUUCACCUGGUCGGAA